GACGAACGCUGGCGGCGCGCUUAACACAUGCAAGUCGAGCGAGAACCAGUCCUUCGGGACUGGGGACAGCGGCGAACGGGUGAGUAACACGUGGGUAAUCUGCCCUCGGCACCGGAAUAGCCCGGGGAAACCCGGAUUAAUGCCGGAUGGCCUCUCUGCCCCUCGGGGCGGUGAGAAAAGGUAGCUUCGGCCUCUGGCCGAGGAUGAGCCCGCGGCCGAUUAGCUUGUUGGUGGGGUAACGGCUCACCAAGGCGACGAUCGGUAGCUGGUCUGAGAGGACGAUCAGCCACACUGGGACUGAGACACGGCCCAGACUCCUACGGGAGGCAGCAGUGGGGAAUCUUGCGCAAUGGGCGAAAGCCUGACGCAGCGACGCCGCGUGCGGGAAGAAGGCCUUCGGGUUGUAAACCGCUUUCAGGAGGGACGAAGCCACUCGGGUGAAUAGCCUAGAGGGUGACGGUACCUCAAGAAGAAGCCCCGGCUAACUACGUGCCAGCCGCCGCGGUAAGAC
rnacentral:rRNA from 1 species